rnacentral:lncRNA from 1 species
UAUUUAAUUUAAUGGCAGUGUAUAGUGUUUAUAAAUUUAUAUAAUGCAAGCUGAGCCAGCAUACUACCUAAGGAAAGAAUCUAAGAAGUUGAUUAUUUCAGAGGAAUGUCUAACAUUUUUGAAAGAAUGUUGAACUAAUGAAGUUUUUCCGAUGUCAACUGAAAGAAUAAAGUUGCCAGUAAGAUUUAUGAAUUUAUUAUGUAACACAAAGAAGCAUUGCUUAUCAGCGGCCAUUACGGACAUUAAGAGAGAACUAUUUAGAUUAAAAAGUUACUUAGAAUCGAAAGGUAUCCAAAAUGCUACUGUUAGAAAUCUUAGCGAUACAGUUCCAGGUUUUACCCAGUAUUUCCAGUUGAUAAAACCUCGUCCCCGAUAUAUCAAAUAGAAAAAGUGAUAGCAGCUUAUAUAUAGCAGAUAUAUUAGCAGAUAUAUUGAUGAUAUUCUAGUUUUUAAAUUAGAUGAUAUUCUAGUAUUAGAUUAGAUGAUAUUCUAGUAUUAUUCAAAAUUUUUUUGGAAUAAUACUAGAAGAAUAUGCUUAAAAGCAGCUAUAACGGAAAGUAAGAGAAAGAUG